GUGGGGAAUAUUGGACAAUGGGCGAAAGCCUGAUCCAGCAAUGCCGCGUGAGUGAUGAAGGCCUUAGGGUUGCAAAGCUCUUUUACCAGGGAUGAUAAUGACAGUACCUGGAGAAUAAGCUCCGGCUAACUCCGUGCCAGCAGCCGCGGUAAUACGGAGGGAGCUAGCGUUGUUCGGAAUUACUGGGCGUAAAGCGCACGUAGGCGGUUACUCAAGUCAGAGGUGAAAGCCCGGGGCUCAACCCCGGAACUGCCUUUGAAACUAGGUAACUAGAAUCUUGGAGAGGUCAGUGGAAUUCCGAGUGUAGAGGUGAAAUUCGUAGAUAUUCGGAAGAACACCAGUGGCGAAGGCGACUGACUGGACAAGUAUUGACGCUGAGGUGCGAAAGCGUGGGGAGCAAACAGGAUUAGAAACCCCUGUAGUCC
rnacentral:rRNA from 1 species